rnacentral:lncRNA from 1 species
GAAUACUUCCUAACUCAUUCUAUAAGGCCAGCAUUACCUUAAUACCAAAACCAGACAAAGAUAUAAGAAAAUAAAAUAUAUCAGCAAAUAUCUUUCAUGAACAUAAAUGCAAAAUUCCUCAAAAAAAUGCCACCAUAUUGAAUACAUCAGGCAAAAAUGUGUUCAACCAAAUCCAAAAUGACCCUUAAAAAUAUAAAAUGGCCUACACAAUCUGUAUUUGCCAUGAAUAUAUUUACUAAUUGUAUUCACCACCCUACAUCUGUAAUUCUUAUCAAUACAGUAAUAAUUUACAAAUACCCUACAGCAAACCCAGUCACAUAUUCCAGCAGGGAGAAAUUCUCUCUCAUUUUCAGUCUUUUUAUACAUAUGCCUUGCACAUACGGAAAAAGAGUAAGCAUUUCCUGUUUGACGGGGAAGCGGGGAUUGUCUACUGUCAUUCAUUAAUGCAGGGCCCCUUUACAACAUAUGUUGGAUCAUAUGUUCAAUGAAUCUGAACAAAUUUAAAAUGUUUGUUCAAGGUCUUCCAAAUUCAUAAUCAGUGAAACAAAAAAAAUCUAAAAAAUUGUAGCAGUAUUUUUUUAAACUUAAUGUGAACAAUAUAAUGCAGCUAUUGAAUAUUUUUUCAUAUAUUAUCUAGCCAUUUGUGAUAAAUGUUUAAAAACCACAUUUAUAUAACACUACACCUUUUUGUUGGUCUUGGCACUUUUAAAGAUUUAACAGGUCUGCCUUUUUCCUCUUCUCUUCUUUUUGCCAACUCCUCAGCAGAGAGAUGCUAAAACAAAAUGCCAAUUGAUUAAGGAGUCCAUCAUCUACUAAGAGGCAGAAUAAAAAUAGUCCUUUAAAAUCAAAUUGAAGGGCAUGUGAGGACAAGAGAGACUAAAUUGAUAUAGAUGGGCUUCCUUUUUGCUACCAACAUGUAGAAAGACUGGACAGUAUUUUUAAAAAAUUGUUUCAAAAGACACGGCCAUCCCAAACUGAAAAUUUACUCCUUCUCUU